CAGCCAUUUCGAAAUUUUAACAUUAAAUUAACUAAUUUACUUUACAAUGCAUCAGUUUGCAAAUUUUUAGAAAGUUUGAAGCAUUUUUAAAAUUUUGAAGCUUUUACUGUUUCUAUGGCAACGGCGGCCAUUUUGAAAAUUCCAAAGUCAUACUUCUGCUUCAUAUUGUACUCCCCAUAAUAUUUUACAAUCAUAAAACAUUUAAUAGCUGUACAACACUAAUGUUCUGGAAUGUUCCAUCACAUUUUCUCAUUUUGAUGUUUUUGCCUUGUUUCCAUGGUAACGGCAGCCAUUUUGGAAAUUCCAAAGUUGAAUGCAACAUCUAGAUUUGCCAGGCAACAUUUCUGUAAAAGUUUUAUAUAUUUUUAAAGAAUUUCCAUAUUUUUGAUAUUUUUGAUCAGUUCCUAUGGCAACAUGGUAGUUCCAAUGAAUCUCAAAAUCAUCCACAGCAUGUAUAUAGAGGACAGCUACAUUGUAUAAAAAUAUGAUGAUUAAAUGUUUUGUUAUAGUUAAAUUAUUCACCAAAAACUAAAACUUCAUUUUUUCACUCUUUUUCUGUUUCCAUGGUAACAGUAGACAUCCUGGAAGUGCCAACCUCGACUGCACUUCUGACAAUGGUCAUUAACAUUCUGGUAUAGAUCCAUUACAAUUGGUCCAUACGAUUCCAAGAAAUAGUAUGGACAAAAUGUGUGGAAUAAUAAUAAUAAGAACUAGAUUUGCCAUUGCAAGCAAUAGCGGAUGGCACCCUUCCCCUAUUGCCAGGUGAGCGGUAGCAUUGGUAACGGCGGCCAUUUUGGAAAUUCUAAACUCAAAAGUCAAGUCUACAUUAGCUGAGCAACAUUUGUUAUAAGUUUCAAUAAAUUUGAAGCAUUUUGAAGUUUUUUGUAUUUUUGCUGUUUCCAUGGUAACGGCGGCCAUUUUGGAAAUUCCAAACUCAAAAGUCAAGUCUACAUUAGCUGAGCAACAUUUGUUAUAAGUUUAAAUAAAUUUGAAGCAUUUUAAAGUUUUUUGUAUUUUUGCUGUUUCCAUGGUAACGGUGGCCAUUUUGAAUAUUCCAAAGUCAAACCCCCGCUGCAUUUUUUUCCCUCCAUAAUCAUAUACAAUCAUAUACCAUUUAAUGUCUCUAGAAUAAAUUAUACAUUGAUGUUCUAGAGUGUUCUGUGAAAAUUCAAAGUUUUGACCUUUUUGCAUUGUUUCCAUGGUAACAACAGAUAUUUUGGAAAUUCCAACGCCAAAUUCCACAUCUUCCAAUGUUGCUCAUCG
rnacentral:lncRNA from 1 species